UACGUAGGGGGCAAGCGUUGUCCGGAAUCAUUGGGCGUAAAGCGCGUGUAGGCGGGUCGGUAAGUCCGCUCUGAAAGCCCGGGGCUCAACCCCGGGAGGCGGGUGGAUACUGUCGACCUCGAGUCCGGAAGAGGCGAGUGGAAUUCCUGGUGUAGCGGUGAAAUGCGCAGAUAUCAGGAGGAACACCAAUGGCGAAGGCAGCCCCCUGGGCUAACACUGACGCUCAUGCACGAAAGCGUGGGGAGCAAACAGG
rnacentral:rRNA from 1 species